rnacentral:rRNA from 1 species
AGAUUGAACGCUGGCGGCAUGCCUUACACAUGCAAGUCGAGCGGCAGCACGGGAGCAAUCCUGGUGGCGAGUGGCGAACGGGUGAGUAAUACAUCGGAACGUGCCUAGUAGUGGGGGAUAGCCCGGCGAAAGCCGGAUUAAUACCGCAUACGACCUACGGGUGAAAGCGGGGGAUCGCAAGACCUCGCGCUAUUGGAGCGGCUGAUGUCAGAUUAGGUAGUUGGUAGGGUAAAAGCCUACCAAGCCGACG